rnacentral:rRNA from 1 species
CCUUACACAUGCAAGUCGACCGGCAGCACGGACUUCGGUCUGGUGGCGAGUGGCGAACGGGUGAGUAAUAUAUCGGAACAUACCCAGUAGUGGGGGAUAACUAUCCGAAAGGAUAGCUAAUACCGCAUACGAUCUGUGGAUGAAAGCAGGGGAUCUUCGGACCUUGUGCUAUUGGAAUGGCCGAUAUCUGAUUAGCUAGUUGGUAGGGUAAAAGCCUACCAAGGCGACGAUCAGUAGCUGGUCUGAGAGGACGACCAGCCACACUGGAACUGAGACACGGUCCAGACUCCUACGGGAGGCAGCAGUGGGGAAUUUUGGACAAUGGGGGCAACCCUGAUCCAGCAAUGCCGCGUGAGUGAAGAAGGCCCUCGGGUUGUAAAGCUCUUUUGUCAGGGAAGAAACGGAGUUCUCUAAUAUAGGAUUCUAAUGACGGUACCUGAAGAAUAAGCACCGGCUAACUACGUGCCAGCAGCCGCGGUAAUACGUAGGGUGCAAGCGUUAAUCGGAAUUACUGGGCGUAAAGCGUGCGCAGGCGGUUUUGUAAGUCUGAUGUGAAAUCCCCGGGCUCAACCUGGGAACUGCAUUGGAGACUGCAAGGCUAGAGUGUGUCAGAGGGGGGUAGAAUUCCACGUGUAGCAGUGAAAUGCGUAGAGAUGUGGAGGAUACCGAUGGCGAAGGCAGCCCCCUGGGAUAACACUGACGCUCAUGC